CCGAUCUCCGAUAGACAAGCACUUGAGCGCCAGAUUAGUAGUUGGGUCGGUGACGACCAGCGAACACCGGGUGCUGUACGUU
rnacentral:rRNA from 1 species